UGAUAUAGCGGAUAGAAUAUGGCAUUUGAAUCCUGCCUCAGACACGUGGUUGUUUGGUUGUCGUAUCUCACUCUUGAAGAGGACCAAAAUGAUGUCACCAUGUUGGACUCAAGGUAGAGUGUGUCUAACUGUGGCCGAUCAGACCAAUACUCAGCUCAGAAGGCUCUACUACAGAGAAUGGGCUAAAAGCUUUCCAAGGUUUAAAGAAUGAACUAUCCUGCUAAUCUGGACCAAAUAAGGCUGACCUUUGAGACAAGUGACCUUCACCAAGCCAGCAACUACUUCCUCCUAUCCUGGAAAAGAGCAGAGCUUGCCAAGGGUAGAGGAACCUUAAAUUAGAAAUGAGGCCUUCAUAGAGAUCAGGAGGAACAAAAAGGCUUUGGACUGAAGAGAGAAGAGGGUGAGUGUUCAACAUCAGUCUUCUCAAUGGUUCAGCGUGGUUCCUUUAUUCUUGGCUCUGUCCCAUUUUUCAAAAUAUAACUUUGCCAAGUCAUUAUCAAUUAUUUCUCCACUCAAAUCCAGCCCCAAGUCAUGUCAAACCCAGCAACAGAGACAAGAGCCUCAUGUCACCUGAAAUGGAUCUUUUCAAGUUUUCUUUGCAAGUAAUAGAAAUCUAGUGGAUUAGUCCCCAGCAAGAUUCUGGAAUGGCUUAUUAAACACUAAUCAAAACAGCUUGCUAUCAUGGUUUUGUUGUUCAAUCUUGUCUAA